rnacentral:lncRNA from 1 species
AAACAACUAUUUCAAGGCUGAUUCAAUCAUUAAGAAUGUUUAUGAUAUUAUUCUCAUGGACAAUAAAAAUGUAUAACUAAAAUUUAAGAUAUAAUAUGAUACAUUCAAGAUAAUAAAAGUAUAUCCAAACAACUAAGAACUUGAUCGUGUUCUCUUAACUUUUUUCCUAAAUUCACUACACCAAAAGACUAUUUUUUUGACAUGUAAAUUCAGGUGCAUUAUACACAAGAUACGGGUGAUCGAACAUAGCAUAAAACACAAGAAGAUUAGAGGUGGAUGAUAUAUCCGUCUCUAAUCAAGAAAAAUAGAUGAUAUAUAUAUACUGAAGCAAGAUUAGGGUGAAUAAACUUAAUCAAGAAAGGUG